CAAUGAUUGGUUUGGUAGUGAGAAUCCUCAGAACUUAGCUUGUUUAUUUACCUCAGAACUUGAAGUUCUCUUUCAAGUAACAAACCAUCUCUUUCAAUAGUUAAGCUGAAGUAG